ACAAUUCAUGACAAUUCAUGACAAUUCAUGACAAUUCAUGACAAUUCAUAACAGUUUAUAACAAUUUUGUAUAAAAAAGAAUAUUAAUAAAUACCAUUUAUCUAUUUUCUUGCUUUUCCGCUGAACUGUAUACAUCUUCAUUGAACACGUAAAAAAAAAGAAAAAGAAAUACAUAUUUUUAAAAUGUAAAAAUAUGUUUUCACCCUGAAUUAAAGUUUUUGUUUUACAUAAUUCAUAGAAAGAAUUUUGUCUUAAAAAGUUUUGUUUUGUAUAUAAAUACGUACAUAUACAUGUACAUAUAUUAUGCACGUUUUUAGCUGGUGAGUACAAUUACGACUUUAAAUUUCCAUCGUUAGUGACUCUUUAAUUUGAUUUGUGUACUUACUUACUUACUUACCUACCUACCUACCUACUAACUUACAUGAUUCAAUUUGCUUUUUUUUUUAUUUUUUAUUAAGAAAUGGACAUAAAAAGAAAAGCGUUAUUUUUCAUUUUUUCGUGUAUUUAUAUUUUUAAAGUAUCUACAACACAGAAAGCGCUCAACGAGAAAAGCAGUUUAAACAUAAUUUUUAAAAUAAAAAGUAAAUUAAUUAACUAUAUAGCGCAUGUAAAAGGAUUUGACAGAAACGGGUGGAUAGAUUUAUCAAAAGUUACAAAUAAUAUAAAUAAUUUAGAUUUUACAAUUAACAGUAAUAAUGUACUUGUCUGUAAUACAGAUAACAAAGUAAUUGAAGUUGUAGUUGUUCUAACCAAACUUAUAAAACAAACAAAAAAUAAAAGAUAUCACGAACUAUUUUUAAAACCGUUAAACAGUAUAGAUAAUAAAGAUAAUUCAAAUAGUUUAUAUAAAAUACCUUUUGUAAUAACUUCAUCAUUUGUGAAUAGUCAUAUAUAUGAUGAAAAAUGGAAAGAACUAUCAUUUCCUUUAAAUUGUGAAGCAUAUUUAGUGUGUACAAAAAAAAAUACUAAUGCUUUAUUUAUACCAAAAAAAAUAGAACCACCUGAAUUUAUAUCAGGCUCUUGGAAUGUUAAUGUAACUAUUGAUAUGUACAGAAGCCCAAUACAUCCAUUCGGAAGAAUAUAUGUAUUAACAGUAGUAGAUAAUGUUAAUAUUUUAUUAAAUACAAAAAAAAAAUCUUUUAUAUUACCAAUACCUAUAACUGAGUUUUCCCUAGUAUAUGAUUUUUAUACUGCUAUAUCUGACAUGAAGUAUGGUAAUUUUUGUCAGUUGGAACGUCCACAUGGAAACCAAGAAACUAUAAUAAUGACUUGUCCCUCUUGGGAAAAACCAUAUAAGUUAACCCAAGUAAACAAUAUGCUUCUUUCAGUAUAUGCAGGUAUGACAUUAAUACAAGGACUUAAUCAUAUUUAUUUUAAAAAAAUAAAAGAUAAAAAUACAAAAAAUUUAAUAUCCAAUCCUGUAGAUGGAAUGCCACUUAAUCAUGAAAAUAGUUUAUAUCCAGCAACUGAAUCAAAGGAAGUGCAAAAUAUAUCAGACAAAGAAAUAGGAAAAAACAUGAAUAUCAUAUCAAAUAUUGCGUUUUUAAGUUUAGCUGGUAUACUAAAUGUGGCAUUUAUUAUUAAAUCAAUAAUGGAUAUGGUUAAAACUUUAAAUAAAAUGAACAAAGAAUUUGAAAAAACAAAUCUAUUUUAUCCUUGGGUACUUAGAUAUCCCAAAAAGUAUAUCUACUCUGGUAUUUUUAUGGAACACGUGAAUGGAUAUGAUGAAGCUACUGCUGCUUUAUUUGUACAAAAUGACCAACAACAGAAACAAAUAACUGAUUAUGUGAUAGAUACCGGUGAUAUGGAGAAUAUGGUAAAUCUGGAAAAUAUUAAAUAUAUGGAAUAUAUAACAGGUACUGAAGAUAUGGCAGGAACAGCAGAUAUGUCACAUACAACAAAUGUGUUAAAUACGGUUGAUAUGUCAAAUAUGACUGAUAUGGGAGGUGAGGAAGAUACGACAGAUGUGACAAACAGUAAAUUGACAAAAAAUGAGAAAGGUGCGAAAACAGAAAAAACGCAAUGUUAAGAAGUAAAUGGAGUGAAAAAAAAAAAAAAAAAUAUGCAUCACAUAUAAAAGGAAGAAGCCCUAAUUUACCUUUUUGAAUAAAUUAAAAAUCACGCCCUUUUUAUUUUUGAUU
ensembl:lncRNA